CACGUAGGCACCAAGCGUUGUUCGGAUUUACUGGGCGUAAAGGGCGCGUAGGCGGCUUGUCAAGUCACUUGUGAAAUCUCUGGGCUUAACCCAGAACGGCCAAGUGAAACUGUCAUGCUAGAGUGCAGAAGGGGCAAUCGGAAUUCUUGGUGUAGCGGUGAAAUGCGUAGAUAUCAAGAGGAACACCUGAGGUGAAGACGGGUUGCUGGGCUGACACUGACGCUGAGGCGCGAAAGCCAGGGGAGCAAACGGG
rnacentral:rRNA from 1 species